CCUCCGCCGGCCUUCCCUCGCCGUUGUAGCCGCCGGAGCAGCCCCGGCCAGCCCCGACCAGCAACCCACGAAAUGGGUUUCCAGUGGCUUUAGGCCCGCUUUUGAGCCGUUUCCGAGCCCUGAACCCGAGCCGUGCUUUGGGAAGUUUUGUUCCUCGCGUCGCUCCCGUCGGAUUGAUCCGAUUUGCGCGCGAUUUGGUGAGUAAUCUCACUAAUCCAGGAUUAGUUGGCUAAUUAUGCUUAAAGUUGGUUUAGUUUUAAUUAAUUAUGUUUAGGUUGUUAGA
rnacentral:lncRNA from 1 species